UAUUCCCUGGGGUGAUGGAAGACUGGCUCUUGAGCUGCAUCCUUGGUAGCUUUUCCUUCUUCAUCUCAUUGCCAGUGAGGACACUGAGGAGGAGAAGGAGGUGAGGAGGAGGAAAAAGAUGAGGAAAAGGAGAAAACCAACCACGAUCCACUGUCACCAAAUGAGCAUGCCAGGUUGCCAUGCUGCACAGCUCCAAGAAGCACCACUGUCCAUGUGGUCAACAUGGAUGGAUCCCUGAGGAGGUGUCCAGCAGCAGCCUGCAUGCCAUGCGUGGCUCUGAAGUCAAUAAUCCUGGAAAAAGGGUCAUUCCUUCCCAAUAAACGACAGUGGGCUAUCUCCCGCAGACACCCACGAAAUUUCCCUCCUUUUCCUUCCAUGGAGGACUGGUGAAAACGUCAUCAUGGACCUGACCUGCAUCUGGAGACCAUCCCUCAGAGGUGCUGCAGAGCUCCUUUCUGCCCAGGCAUUUACGGUGGGUGAGAACUUGGAGAGGCGAGCUCACGAGGGAGUUGGGGUUUUGACUUGGCCAUGACUACUCAGCUCAGGAUGAAAGCUGAUACUUUCUGAGUGCAUUCUUUGAUUAACCCUUCAAUCCUCACAAUCACCCCAUGUCACCAGGAGGAAACUGAGGCAAAGUCCACACAACUGGCAAAUCUGGUAUGACUCUCUUUCUGUCACAGCAGUUUGCUGGCAACAGACCUACAGCCAGAUGCUCAGGGCAGUCCCGACAUCAGGCACAGCAGCUGCACUUUUCCGAAGCCCCUUUGCGGAUGCAGCCCUGGGCACACUUGGCACAGCCCAGGGGGCAACAGGAGCAGCAGCUCUUCUUGCAGGAGGUGCAUUUGCACUUUUUGCACUUGCAGGAGCCGGCGCAGGCGUAGGAGCCUCCAGCGGCGCAGGAGCAGUUGGG
rnacentral:lncRNA from 10 species